UGAGCUGACCGGUACUAAUCGCCCGACAGGCUUG
rnacentral:rRNA from 1 species